rnacentral:rRNA from 2 species
GAUGAACGCUGGCGGCGUGCCUAACACAUGCAAGUCGAACGGGGUACCCAAACAGAAAGCUUCGGCUGGAAGAUUGGACUACCUAGUGGCGGACGGGUGAGUAACACGUGGAUAACCUGCCUUAUGCAAAGGGAUAACAAUCAGAAAUGGUUGCUAAAACCUUAUAAGCUUACAGUAUCGCAUGAUAGAGUGAGAAGAUAUUUAUAGGCAUAAGAGGGGUCCGCGUCUGAUUAGCUAGUUGGAGAGGUAACGGCUCACCAAGGCGACGAUCAGUAGCCGGCCUGAGAGGGUGAACGGCCACAUUGGGACUGAGACACGGCCCAAACUCCUACGGGAGGCAGCAGUGGGGAAUAUUGCGCAAUGGGGGAAACCCUGACGCAGCAACGCCGCGUGAAGGAUGACGGUCUUCGGAUUGUAAACUUCUAUCGAUGGGGAAGAAAAAUGACGGUACCCAAGUAAGAAGCACCGGCUAAAUACGUGCCAGCCGCCGCGGUAACACCGAGACU